UGACAAGUUCACCUCGUCCAGGUAGAAUACUCGUGCGAACGACAGGUGUACUCUUUAGACAUCCCCGCACACACCCAGGGCUCCAUGGUGACCUUUGACCCGGGGGUGAAGAGCGUGAUGGCCAAGCAGAGAUCUUGCUGCCGGAUCAGCGGCUCGAUUAACUCCCACCUCUGGAAAAAGAAAACACAAAAAGGGUUUGAAAGUUAUUCAUGUCGUAAAAACACAAGCGUUACCAUGAACCAAGCAACCAUUGCUAGAAACUUCCACCGAGCUUUGGAACAUUGAUUUAAAUCGGGAACCCCCGUCACUU